rnacentral:rRNA from 1 species
AACUUUCAACAACGGAUCUCUAGGCUCUUGCAUCGAUGAAGAACGCAGUGAAAUGCGAUAAGUAAUGUGAAUUGCAGAAUCUCGUGAAUCAUCGAAUCUUUGAACGCACAUUGCGCCCUAUGGUAUUCCGUAGGGCAUGCCUGUCUGAGCGUCAACU